rnacentral:lncRNA from 1 species
AGGGAUGCAGUCUGGGACACGUAGUUGCAAACCUAGCGACUUUGUUGUUAGAUUCAAUGACUUUUCAGACCCCCUAACGACUUUUUUUUUGAAAGAAAGGGACUUUUAUCGACUUCUUCUGGAGAUUAGAGACUCUGACAUGAAGCAGGCUUUUCCUUACUGAGGAGUUAGCAACGCUGCUAAGGGUGCAGAGCCACACAUGCGCUCUGAGCUCUGCAUGGGAGACUGAAGCUGACAGAGCUGCAGCAGUUAGCAGGUUUCACCCUCAGAGACCACCAGGGGUUCAUGUUGAGGCAUUUUCAGUUUGUUUUAUUGUUUUUUUGCCAUAGACACUGUCAGCACAAUCUGCAGUUACACUAACAAAAAUGCUGGACAAAACAAAGAAUUAUGGAAAAAUUACACAUGGACUAACAUAGAGGAGGAUCUACACAAGUUUUUUACAUCAUGUUUUACAUCAUGCAUCAUUUACAUCAUGUUUUUUUUGUAGUGGCAUAAAUAAAAAGUGACAUUUGUGAGACUAUACAGUGUUUUGUAAAUAAUUUUACAAAGAACGCCUGGGCCAUUGCCUGCAUUUUGAUGUAAAUAGAGGUAAAUUACUAUGUUCUUUGUUAAAAAUUUGCAUAUGUUUUGAAGUUUAAAAUUUUUAUUUGAUGUUUAAGUUUUAAAAACAGUUCAUCACACAUAUUUGUGGUUUUCAGAGUAAAAAUGUUACUUUUUUCCACUCGGAUAUUAUGUUUUGUGUGUGAAUUUGGGUCCAUUGUGUAAAAACAGUAUGUGAAAAUGAUAAAAUAACUGUAAAGUCACACAGGUGAGGUUGUGCUGAAAAAAAUGAUACCAGGCAAGGCAAGGUAAAAAUUUUUUAAGAGGAAAUAUAAAGGUAAAAUCUAAAGUAGUCAAAAACGGCCAAUAGUGACUCCCAGUCUCCAUAGACAAGUCCCUUUGGCGCCACUCAGUGGGCAAAACUACUUUGUCUGCUGUAAUGUAUAUUUGGGUCAUCUUUGGCACCCCCUAGAACGUAAACCGUGGGGUGCAGCGUCAUGAUUUUUACAACUUUGAAUGGCCAUGGGUUGUAGAUUGGCCUGAGCAAAUUUGGUGUCAUUGGGACGAAAGCCUUAGGAGGAGUUAGCCACAUUCCAAUGUGUGCAAAUCGGCAAAAAAUGCAAAAUAGCCCUUUUACCGUACAUUAUACACAUACGCGCUCUUUGACUUUUUCGUAGAUCUUAUUGAGAUACACGUGAUUGUCAAAUUUUGUGUCAAUAUGACAAAGCGUUCAGGCAUGACACUCAACAAUGUGUGUUUUCACCUUAGGGGACAAGAAAAAAUGGACUUUUUUCUCCUGCCAUGGGGGGGCGCUCUUUUGGGGAGUAAAAAUUCCUUCACAAAUGUGUUGAUGGCUGGACAUUGCAUCAUCCUAGAAAACUUGGAGGCCAGUGAGGACAAAAAUAAAAAGUUAUAAGACUUUUAAGAAUGUGGAUUUUGGGUUAUCUUUGGCGCCCCCUAGAACCUAAACCGUGGGGUGCAGCGCAUGAUUUGUACAACUUUUAAUGGCCAUGGGGUGUAGAUUGACCUGAGCAAAUUUGGUGUCAUUGGGACGAAAGCCUUAGGAGGAGUUAGCCACAUUCCAAUGUGUGCGGAUCGGCAGAAAAUGCGAAAUAGCCCUUUAACCGUACAUUAUACAGAUACGCGCUCUUUGACUUUUUCGUAGAUCUUAUUGAGAUACACGUGAUUGUCAAAUUUUGUGUCAAUAUGACAAAGCGUUCAGGCGUGACACUCUACAAUGUGUAUUUUCAUGUUAGGGGACAAGAAAAAAUGGACUUUUUUCACCUGCCAUGGGGGGGCGCUCUUUUGGGGAGUAAAAAUUCCUUCACAAAUGUGUUGAUGGAUGGACAUUGCAUCAUCUUAGAAAACUUGGGGGCCAGUGAGGACAAAAAUAAAAAGUUAUAAGACUUUUAAAAAUGUGGAUUUUUGGGUUAUCUUUGGCGCCCCCUAGAACGUAAACCGUGGGGUGCAGCGUCAUGAUUUGUACAACUUUAGAUGGCCAUGGGGUGUAGAUUGGCCUGAGCAAAUUUGGUGCCAGUGGAACGAAAGCCUUCGGAGGAGUUAGCGAAAUUCCAAUGUGUGCGGAUCGGCAAAAAAUGCGAAAUAGCCCUUUAACGGUACAUUUGACAGAUACGCCCGCACUGACUUUUUUGUAGGUCUUAUUGAGAUACACAUGUGUGUCAAAUUUUGUGUCAUUUUGACAAAGCGUACAGGCGUCAGGUGAAUUUUCACCAUAGGGGGCGCUAUGGAGCCAUUUUU